UACCCGCUGAACUUAAGCAUAUCAAUAAGCGGAGGAAAAGAAACCAACAGGGAUUGCCUCAGUAACGGCGAGUGAAGCGGCAAAAGCUCAGAUUUGAAAUCUGGCGUCAUUUUGGCGUCCGAGUUGUAAUCUGUAGAGGAGUAUUCGAGUGUGGCGCUGGCUUAAGUUCCUUGGAACAGGACGUCAUAGAGGGUGAGAACCCCGUUAACGGCCUUUGUCUUAUGCUCAUGUGAAUCUCCUUCAACGAGUCGAGUUGUUUGGGAAUGCAGCUCUAAAUGGGUGGUAAAUUCCAUCUAAAGCUAAAUACUGGCAAGAGACCGAUAGCGCACAAGUAGAGUGAUCGAAAGAUGAAAAGAACUCUGAACAGAGAGUUAAAUAGUACGUGAAAUUGUUGAAAGGGAAGCACUUGCUACCAGACACGCCUGUAGUUGAUCAACCUUCAUUCUUGAUGGUGCACUCAGCUAUAGGUGGGUCAGCAUCAGUUAUGGCGGUGGGACAAAGACUCGGGGAAUGUGGCUUCUUUCGGGAAGUGUUAUAGCCCUGGGUGUAAUACCACCUGCUGUGACUGAGGACCGCGCUUCGGCGAGGAUGCUGGCAUAAUGGUCGUAAGUGACCCGUCUUGAAACACGGACCAAGGAGUCUAACAUCUAUGCGAGUGUUUGGGUGUCAAAACCCUUACGCGGAAUGAAAGUGAAUGGAGGUGGGAACCGCAAGGUGCACCAUCGACCGAUCCUGAUGUCUUCGGAUGGAUUUGAGUAGGAGCAUAGCUGUUGGGACCCGAAAGAUGGUGAACUAUGCCUGAAUAGGGUGAAGCCAGAGGAAACUCUGGUGGAGGCUCGCAGCGGUUCUGACGUGCAAAUCGAUCGUCAAAUUUGGGUAUAGGGGCGAAAGACUAAUCGAACCAUCUAG
rnacentral:rRNA from 1 species